rnacentral:rRNA from 1 species
GAUGAACGCUGGCGGCGUGCCUAAUACAUGCAAGCCGAGCGAACAGACGAGGAGCUUGCUCCUUUGACGUUAGCGGCGGACGGGUGAGUAACACGUGGAUAACCUACCUAUAAGACUGGGAUAACUUCGGGAAACCGGAGCUAAUACCGGAUAACAUGUUGAACCGCAUGGUUCAACAGUGAAAGACGGUCUUGCUGUCACUUAUAGAUGGAUCCGCGCCGCAUUAGCUAGUUGGUAAGGUAACGGCUUACCAAGGCAACGAUGCGUAGCCGACCUGAGAGGGUGAUCGGCCACACUGGAACUGAGACACGGUCCAGACUCCUACGGGAGGCAGCAGUAGGGAAUCUUCCGCAAUGGGCGAAAGCCUGACGGAGCAACGCCGCGUGAGUGAAGAAGGUCUUCGGAUCGUAAAACUCUGUUAUUAGGGAAGAACAAAUGUGUAAGUAACUAUGCACGUCUUGACGGUACCUAAUCAGAAAGCCACGGCUAACUACGUG